CAAUAAUAUCCAAUCUAUACGGUCCACACUAUAUUAGGUCUCACAAUAUUUCGAUUUUUACCACUGUCUAUCUAUACUAAUUAGAAAAAAUAUAUAAUAUUGUAUAAAAAAAAAUCGAGCUGUGCAAUAAUAUAAAAAUAGUCUCGUGCAGAUAAGGUCUCACACUAGCUAGUCCGAUCCUGGGCCAGUUUAAAACUUUAAUUAUUAAUAAUCGUCGUACAAAAGACAUAAUUUAAGAAAUUCUAAAGGCACCUAUGUUUUAACCACUAUAACUACAUACUAACUGUGUGUAUAGAGUAUCUCUAUAUGAUACAGUGUUACAAAACCGUAGUAUUCACGCGAGCAUGGCCACGGGCACGCAAUCGACAAUGGUCACGCGACGGUGGUGUUUUGACAGCGAUGACACGAGUAAUUGGAUUUCUCGGGCAGUUAUCCGCAAGUAUACACGGAGAGUCGACGACAAUGGACACUAAUCAUGACGACGAUGACAUUUUCGAUGGCGGUCCCGAGUCUUCGGACGGCUACGUGAACCGUGACGACGACAAGAUCGAUAAACGAAAACAUUUUCUGCGAUGCGAUCGGAAUUUGGUAAUUUUUUUUUUUCAUUUAAUUUCAUCCGAAACAUCGCCAGAGACCCGGCACAGUUUUAGGGCAAGUACCUUUAAUAUUAUAGCGUGAUUAGUACGUCU